AACGAGCGAGACCCACGCCCACAGUUGCCAGCGUACUCUCCGGAGUGACGGGUACGACUGUGGGGGACCGCCGCUGCUAAAGCGGAGGAAGGAAUGGGCAACGGUAGGUCAGUAUGCCCCGAAUAUCCCGGGCUACACGCGAGCUACAAUGGUUGGUACAAUGGGUAUCUACCCCGAAAGGGGACGGGAAUCUCCUAAAGCCAAUCGUAGUUCGGAUUGAGGGCUGCAACUCGCCCUCAUGAAGCUGGAAUCCGUAGUAAUCGCGUUUCAACAGAACGCGGUGAAUACGUCCCUGCUCCUU
rnacentral:rRNA from 1 species